CCUACGGGAGGCAGCAGUGGGGAAUAUUGGGCAAUGGACGCAAGUCUGACCCAGCAACGCCGCGUGCAGGAAGACGGCUCUCGGGUUGUAAAAUUCUUUUUAGGGGGAAGAGCAGAAGACGGUAUCCCUUGAAUAAGCCACGGCUAACUACGUGCCAGCAGCCGCGGUAAUACGGAGGUGGCAAGCGUUGGCCGGAUUUACUGGGUGUAAAGGGCGUGCAGCCGGAGAGACAAGUCAGAUGUGAAAUCCACGGGCUUAACCCGUGAACUGCAUUUGAAACUGUUUCCCUUGAGUGUCGGUGAGGUAGGCGGAAUGUCUGGUGUAGCGGUGAAAUGCGUAGAGAUAAGGAAGAACACCGAUUGCGAAGGCGGAUUACUAGACGAUAACUGACGGUGAGGCACGAAAGCGUGGGGAGCAAACAGGAUUAGAUACCCGAGUAGUC
rnacentral:rRNA from 1 species